UACGUAGGGGGCUAGCGUUGUCCGGAAUCAUUGGGCGUAAAGCGCGUGUAGGCGGUCCGGUAAGUCCGCUGUGAAAGUCGGGGGCUCAACCCUCGAAUGCCGGUGGAUACUGUCGGGCUAGAGUGCGGAAGAGGCGAGUGGAAUUCCUGGUGUAGCGGUGAAAUGCGCAGAUAUCAGGAGGAACACCGAUGGCGAAGGCAGGUCUCUGGGCCGAUACUGACGCUGAGGAGCGAAAGCGUGGGGAGCGAACAGG
rnacentral:rRNA from 1 species